GUUCCUGUUACAGCUCCAGAAGUCAGUCACCAGCAGCAAAUGUCACACAGUUAUAAAAUGGGAAACUUGAAGAAUAAGUUAUAGCUCCAGAAAACCGCCACCAGCAGCAGAUGUCACAGUUAUAAAAUGGGAAACUUGAAGAAUAAGUUAUAGCUCCAGAAAACCGCCACCAGCAGCAGAUGUCACAGUUAUAAAAUGGGAAACUUGAAGAAUAAGCUCCAGAAGUCAGCAGCAGCAGCAGCAGC